CGGGUUGGCGGCAGCCUACACAUGCAGUCGAACGGUAGCACAGAGAGCUUGCUCUUGGGUGACGAGUGGCGGACGGGUGAGUAAUGUCUGGGAAACUGCCCGAUGGAGGGGGAUAACUACUGGAAACGGUAGCUAAUACCGCAUAACGUCUUCGGACCAAAGUGGGGGACCUUCGGGCCUCACACCAUCGGAUGUGCCCAGAUGGGAUUAGCUAGUAGGUGGGGUAAUGGCUCACCUAGGCGACGAUCCCUAGCUGGUCUGAGAGGAUGACCAGCCACACUGGAACUGAGACACGGUCCAGACUCCUACGGGAGGCAGCAGUGGGGAAUAUUGCACAAUGGGCGCAAGCCUGAUGCAGCCAUGCCGCGUGUAUGAAGAAGGCCUUCGGGUUGUAAAGUACUUUCAGCGGGGAGGAAGGCGAUACGGUUAAUAACCGUGUCGAUUGACGUUACCCGCAGAAGAAGCACCGGCUAACUCCGUGCCAGCAGCCGCGGUAAUACGGAGGGUGCAAGCGUUAAUCGGAGUUACUGGGGCGUAAAGCGCACGCAGGCGGUCUGUCAAGUCGGAUGUGAAAUCCCCGGGCUUAACCUGGGAACUGCAUUCUAAACUGGCAGGCUAGAGUCUUGUAGAGGGGGGUAGAAUUCCAGGUGUAGCGGUGAAAUGCGUAGAGAUCUGGAGGAAUACCGGUGGCGAAGGCGGCCCCCUGGACAAAGACUGACGCUCAGGUGCGAAAAGCGUGGGGAGCAAACAGGAUUAGAUUACCUGGUAGUCCACGCCGUAAACGAUGUCGACUUGGAAGGUUGUUCCCUUGAAGGGAGUGGGCUUCCGGAGCUAUCGCGUUAAAGUCCUACCGUCCUCUAUGAGAGUACCGGCCCCCAAGGUUAAACUCCAAAUGAA
rnacentral:rRNA from 1 species